GAUGAACGCUAGCUACAGGCUUAACACAUGCAAGUCGAGGGGAAACGGCAUUAAGUGCUUGCACUUUUUGGACGUCGACCGGCGCACGGGUGAGUAAAGCGUAUCCAACCUUCCCAUGACUAAGGGAUAACCUGCCGAAAGGCAGACUAAUACCUUAUGGUCUUCACUGACGGCAUCAGAUGUGAAGUAAAGAUUUAUCGGUUAUGGAUGGGGAUGCGUCUGAUUAGCUUGUUGGCGGGGUAACGGCCCACCAAGGCAACGAUCAGUAGGGGUUCUGAGAGGAAGGUCCCCCACAUUGGAACUGAGACACGGUCCAAACUCCUACGGGAGGCAGCAGUGAGGAAUAUUGGUCAAUGGGCGAGAGCCUGAACCAGCCAAGUAGCGUGCAGGAUGACGGCCCUAUGGGUUGUAAACUGCUUUUGUAUGGGGAUAAAGUCAAUCACGUGUGAUUGUUUGCAGGUACCAUAAGAAUAAGGACCGGCUAAUUCCGUG
rnacentral:rRNA from 1 species